rnacentral:lncRNA from 1 species
UUGUGCGUAGUAGUGCUAAAAAAAGAAAUAAAAAUGGGAGAUUUAAAUUGAUUAAGAUAAUAAAUAAGGAAAUAUGAAGUGUAAUAAAAUAAAAUAAAAUAAAAUAAAAACAAAUUCAAAUAUGUAAAAAUAAAUUUUAAAAAAUAAAAUAAAUUGGUAAAUAAAAUAUUUUUAAACUUAGCCAUGGCCUCGGUGUACUCCAAUCUUGAAUCGCUCCUUCAAAUAGAUUUUCCCUUCCAAGCGAUAAGCUAGUUAUAGAAAUCGAGGAUCUCUUAAACCGCC